UAGUCCACGCUGUAAACGAUGAUCACUAAGUGUUCGGUACCUUGAGUACUGGGCGGCCAAGCGAAAGUGAUAAGUAUCCCACCUGGGGAGUACGUCCGCAAGGAUGAAACUCAAAGGAAUUGACGGGGGCCCGCACAAGCGGUGGAGCAUGUGGUUUAAUUCGAUGAUACGCGAGGAACCUUACCAGGGCUUAAAUGUAGUAUGACAGGUUUAGAGAUAGACUUUCCUUCGGGCAUAUUGCAAGGUGCUGCAUGGUUGUCGUCAGCUCGUGCCGUGAGGUGUCAGGUUAAGUCCUAUAACGAGCGCAACCCCUGUUGUUAGUUACCAGCGAGUGAAGUCGGGGACUCUAGCAAGACUGCCGGUGCAAACCGCGAGGAAGGUGGGGACGACGUCAAAUCAUCACGGCCCUUACGCCCUGGGCCACACACGUGCUACAAUGGCCGGCACAGAGAGCAGCCAUGCCGCAAGGCAGAGCGAAUCUACAAAACCGGUCACAGUUCGGAUCGGGGU
rnacentral:rRNA from 1 species